AGCCUAGCGCUAAGGCUUAAUGUGGUUGCCGGCAACGGUAAUCAUUCAUACAACAUUAAGCGGUGCAGCGUUACAAACUCUGGUGUUUAGUAGUAUCGAUGUAGUGUACAGGCAACUGUAUGCUGCUUUCGGCCUAGCGUACAAGUCCCAUUGACUUGGGCUUAUUCUUAAUUGAGAUGUCUACGGGUUUGGGGCAACUUGGAUCCGUGGAUGAGCCAUAGAGGGUGAAAGUCCCUUAAUGCGCAGGUAUUGGUACUACGGACUAGAGCAGUGGCGUUUGGUAAAACAAGCGUUGCGGUUUGUUAGAGUCGGGUUGCUUGAGAGUGCAACCUAAAGAGCGAGGUAAACUGCUCGUAAGGCUAUGUAAAUACGGCUACGACACCGAUAGCAAACAAGUACCGUGAGGGAAAGUUGCAAAGUACUUUGAAGAGAGAGUUAAACAGGGCGUGAAACCGCUAGCUGGUAAACGAGUGGAGCCACGAAGUCGUUUCGUAGAAUACGGGGCGCAGAUUCAGUUGAGAUCAAUAAAAAAGGUCUUGGCGUAUUUCUGCUUGUCUCGCUAUGUAAGCGUACACUGCAACCAAUUAGACGGCCAAACGUGGAAACAGUUUGCAAGUUGACAGGGAAACUUGUUGCUUGUAAGCGCCAAAAUUUGUGUAUCUAGCGUAGGUAGCCUGAUUAAGACCUCGUGUUUUACUUGGGUGUCUGACGACCACUAGAUGCGUGAACUACGUUUGGGUACUGAUUGGCAAAAGGAAAAUCGAAUCGAAAGAUUCGUUCAUUCAUAGAAAGCGUCCAGCAUCGUAUGUGGGUACAAUUGUACGCUGCUAGUAUAAGCUUAGUAUUUUUGAAUUCAGGCACGUAUAUUGUCAGUGGGCUUGCUCGUUGAUAUAUGCGCUGUUUCCUGUCUAAUCGGGUAUUAACUUUGCUGACAGUUUGAUGCAAUUGCUACGAUAGCACUGUAUGCGAUAGUUGGUCUGCAAGUAUUAGCAGUGAGUAGGUCGGCUUUCCACACGACCCGUCUUGAAACACGGACCAAGGAGUCUAGUUAAGUAUCGAGUCGAUCGGUCUUGAUUAGGCCAGACACUAGAAGAUGGCAACAUCGUUCUGGAAUACAAUAAAUGACGGCAAAGUGAAAUCAAAUCAUAUGUGAUCUGAGGUCUAUAAAAACGGCCUACAGCGCAACAUAUGCCCACUCGUAUGGUUAUACGCGCAAGUGUUAACUGGGUGGAGCAAAGAGAUACUUGACUGGUACCCGAAAGAUGGUGAACUAUUCCUGGCCAGAUUGAAGCCAGAGGAAACUCUGGUGGAGGAUUGUAGCGAUUCUGACGUGCAAAUCGAUCGUCAGAGCUGGGUAUAGGGGCGAAAGACUAAUCGAACCAUCUAGUAGCUGGUUCCCUCCGAAGUUUCCCUCAGGAUAGCAAGCUCUCGCAGAAAUGUGAAUCAGUUUCAUCUGGUAAAGCGAAUGAUUAGAGGCCUUGGGAGCGAAACGCUCUCAACCUAUUCUCAAACUUUAAAUGGGUGAGAUGUGCGACGUACUUAACUGACGCCGCAUACACACAGAAUGUAUUGAGAGCUUAGUGGGCCAUUUUUGGUAAGCAGAACUGGCGAUGCGGGAUGAACCGAAAGUGAAGUUAAGGUUGCCGAUAAUGGUGCUAACAAUUAUGCACUAGCUACACUCAUGAGAUCCCAUGAAAGGUGUAAGUUGCUAAAGACAGCAAGGACGUGGCCAUGGAAGUCGGAAACAUCUAAGGAGUGUGUAACAACUCACUUGCCGAAGCAACUUGCCCUGAAAAUGGAAGCAGCUCGAGUGUUGAACCUAUACUUCACCGUUGAAUCAUCGUUCGUAUAACAUGCGAUUAGUUAUGAUUCAACGUGUAGGAGGGUUGUGUUGGUAGCGUUGAAGGCUAUGAGGGAGUGAUCCUGGCUGGAGCUGCCAAUAGUACAGAUCUUGGUGGUAGUAGCAAAUACUCAAGUGAGACCCUUGAGGGCCAAUGUGGAGAAGGGUUCCAUGCUAACAGCAAUUGGACAUGGGUCAGUCGGUCCUAAGAGAAUGGCGAAAGCUAUUUCUGAAUCAAAGGCAGUGUAUACAAAACACAAUAAACACAAAAACAUGUGUGUAAAUACGGAUUUCAACAAAUAUUUCCCUGCGACUACAACAAUGGACGCUUGGAGAGCAGAAAGCCGAAAAUACAUGUAUUUGAGUGUAUAUGAUCACUGUAUGACUCGAAAGGGAAUUAGGUUAAUAUUCCUAAACCAAGAUGGGGAGAUUGCUAGCUGUGCGGUUAUUCAUUUAACUGUGCAGCUAGCAUUGGCGGUAACGCAAACAAGCACGAUGACGCCGGCGGCAGCCCUGGGAAGAGUUGUCUUUUCUUUGUAAGCUUACUGAGUUUUUAACGAGACCUUGGAAUCGAAUCAUUCGAAGAUAAGGUCGUAGUAAGCGUAAAGCAGUGCGGUUCUAGUACUGUCCAGAGAGCUGUCUUCGGCCCUUGAAAAAUCG
rnacentral:rRNA from 1 species